CAAACCGUCCGUCCCUAUCCACUUCUUCCCCUCGUUUCCUCUGCUCUGCUCUGCUUCGUUCCCAAGCGAAGCAAGGCAUCCUCCCCAUCGAUCGAUCGAUCGCUUCUCUCGCCGGCGACGCUGCAGCGAGCGCCUCUGUUCCUCUGUAAAUCUUUCCACUGACAGAGAAAGCAAGAAGAAAAUGGCCGACGCCGACGCCAUUCCGCAGGAUGUUGACUCUAGUGCUUAAUUUGGAUUAACACUAAACUGUUGCCGAUGAUUGGUUGUAGUGCAACCAAGAGUUCCAUGUACAGCAGCCAUUGAAAUGACCAGACAGUAAAGAGUGAAUUGAUGAAGAUAAGCUGCACGACGAGUGAGACACUUGGUCAGGUGAAAGUCAGCAUGCUUGGUGGAAGCCCUGCCAGUAAAUAACUGCAUAAGUUGCAUAGUAUAUGCUGAUGAUGAUGACAGCAACGAAAAACUAAGUAUGGCAGCUAAGAAGUUGAUGAUGAUGACGACAAAAACUCAAAAAGGGUGUGGUAAUUCUUUCUAUAUUGCUACUUACCCUGAUAUGUAAGUGGAGUAGCACUUAAUUAGUGGCUAGGCAAUGUAAUGAACAUGUAUGGGUGAGCAGAAGUAAGUACUCCGACUUCAGAUUUCAAUCUUCUGAAGUACUGGAUUUAAACUGGCAGCAUGCAACUAUCAUCUGGCCAGGCCAGCUGGUUA